AAGCCUCAAACUUAAGGGUAAGGAAAAUAAUGAUUGCAGCAGUGCCUGAGUCCUGCUGCUAAUGAGAUGAAUUUUUGAGUGGGUAAAGGAUGUCCCUAAAGCAGCCCACCUACAAAUAUAUAAAUAUGAGAAGAGGGCUGGGGGCGUGGCUCAGUGGUAGAGCUCCUGCCUA
ensembl:snRNA Gm22214 predicted gene, 22214